rnacentral:tRNA from 1 species
GAGGGUAUAGCUCAGUGGUAGAGUGCAUGCUUAGCAUGUAGAAGGUCCUGGGUUCAAACCCCAGUGCUCCCU